GAUGAACGCUGGCGGCGUGCCUAAUACAUGCAAGUCGAGCGAACAGAUAAGGAGCUUGCUCCUUUGACGUUAGCGGCGGACGGGUGAGUAACACGUGGGUAACCUACCUAUAAGACUGGAAUAACUCCGGGAAACCGGGGCUAAUGCCGGAUAACAUUUAGAACCGCAUGGUUCUAAAGUGAAAGAUGGUUUUGCUAUCACUUAUAGAUGGACCCGCGCCGUAUUAGCUAGUUGGUAAGGUAACGGCUUACCAAGGCAACGAUACGUAGCCGACCUGAGAGGGUGAUCGGCCACACUGGAACUAAGACACGGUCCAGACUCCUACGGGAGGCAGCAGUAGGGAAUCUUCCGCAAUGGGCGAAAGCCUGACGGAGCAACGCCGCGUGAGUGAUGAAGGUCUUCGGAUCGUAAAACUCUGUUAUUAGGGAAGAACAAAUGUGUAAGUAACUGUGCACGUCUUGACGGUACCUAAUCAGAAAGCCACGGCUAACUACGUG
rnacentral:rRNA from 1 species